GCAGCUGGAUGGUAUAGAGGUGGACUACAGGUGCAUGACUUGAUACAGGAAAAAACACGAUGAUUCUGAACUCACAAAGAGUGAAAGUUCAGGUGAAGGUCGUUGUUCUCUUGGGUUUGUUCAAAUCUUAUUUAUCACAAGAGGCAGCCAGCAAACAAAGCGAGGAGACUGUUUCGUUGGCUCUUUUCUGUAUUGAGGGAGCUAAAAGCUUAACAUAUGCGUCACGCAGGGUGGCUAACGAUAAAAUCUAUCUAUGUAUAAUGUUGUAGGCAACUUGUUUUGCUCUUACAUAAGCAAAAGAUGUUUCAAAAGGUUUACAUGUGUCGAUAUAGGUUUUGUC
rnacentral:rRNA from 1 species